rnacentral:rRNA from 1 species
AUCCGAGUUGUAAUCUAGAGAAGUGUUACCUGUGCUGGACCGUGUACAGUCUUCUGGAAUGGAGCAUCAUAGAGGGUGAGAAUCCCGUCUUUGACAUGGACUACCUGUACGUUGUGGUGUGCUCUCAAAGAGUCGAGUUGUUUGGGAAUGCAGCUCAAAAUGGGUGGUAAAUGCCAUCUAAAGCUAAAUAUUGGCGAGAGACCGAUAGCGAACAAGUACCGUGAGGGAAAAAUGAAAAGAACUUUGGAAAGAAAGUUAAACAGUACGUGAAAUUGCUGAAAGGAAAACCCUUGAAGUCAGCCCCUCCGGCUAAAAAUCACCCUUGCUCCUGCUGGGGUGACUUUCUGGUGGAUGGGCCAGCAUCAAUUUUACCCUUUGAGAAAAAGUCUCUGGAAAAAGUGGCGCAUCUUUUUUAUGUGUGUUAUCCCCCCGUCGCAUACAGUGGUUGGGAUUGAGGAACUCACCACGCCCCCUGCAAGGGGCCUCGUUUACCCCAUGCUCGCUCUUAAGACGCUGGCAUAAUGUCUUCCAUCCCCCCCUG